rnacentral:rRNA from 1 species
AAGUUGGCCUCUGCGGGGACGCUGAUGGCCUGAGACAGUGGAUGCGUCCUAUUAGCUAGCUGGUGGGGUAAGGGCCUACCAUGGCGACGAUGGGUAGCUGGUCUGAUAGGAUGAUCAGCCACACUGGGACUGCGACACGGUCCAGACUCCUACGGGAGGCAGCAGUGGGGAAUUUUGCGCAAUGGGCGCAAGCCUGACGCAGCAACGCCGUGUGCAUGACGACGCCUUUCGAGGUGUAAAGUGCUGUCGACCGGGACGAAGGGGCGAGGGUGAACAGCUUUCGCGCAUGACGGUACCGGUGGAGGAAGCCCCGGCUAACUCCGUGCCAGCAGCCGCGGUAAGACGGAGGGGGCGAGCGUUGUUCGGAAUUACUGGGCGUAAAGCGCGCGCAGUGCGGUGCAGCAAGUGGUGCGUGAAAGCCCUCGGCUUAACCGGGGACGGGCGUGCCAAACUGUUGGACUGGAGUGCCGGAGGGGGAGGCGGAAUUCCUGGUGGAGCGGUGAAAUGCGUAGAGAUCAGGAAGAACGUCGGUGGCGAAGGCGGCCUCCUGGACGGACACUGACGCUGAGGUGCGACAGCGUGGGGAGCGAACGGGAUUAGAUACCCCGGUAGUCCACGCCGUAAACGAUGGGUACUAGGUGUGGGGCUAGUGAUGAGGCCCGUGCCGGAGCUAACGCAGUAAGUACCCCGCCUGGGGAGUACGGUCGCAAGGCUGAAACUCAAAGGAAAUGACGGGGGCCCGCACAAGCGGUGGAGCAUGUGGUUCAAUUCGACGCAACGCGCAGAACCUUACAUAGGUUUGACAUG